UACGGAGGGGGCUAGCGUUGUUCGGAAUUACUGGGCGUAAAGCGCGCGUAGGCGGCCAUUUAAGUCAGAGGUGAAAGCCCGGGGCUCAACUCCGGAAUUGCCUUUGAGACUGGGUGGCUUGAAUCCGGGAGAGGUGAGUGGAAUUCCGAGUGUAGAGGUGAAAUUCGUAGAUAUUCGGAAGAACACCAGUGGCGAAGGCGGCUCACUGGACCGGUAUUGACGCUGAGGUGCGAAAGCGUGGGGAGCAAACAGG
rnacentral:rRNA from 1 species